CGUGGGUGAUCUGCCCUGCACUCUGGGAUAAGCCUGGGAAACUGGGUCUAAUACCGGAUAGGACCAUGCUUUAGUGUGUGUGGUGGAAAGUUUUUCGGUGUAGGAUGAGCCCGCGGCCUAUCAGCUUGUUGGUGGGGUAAUGGCCUACCAAGGCGGCGACGGGUAGCCGGCCUGAGAGGGUGAUCGGCCACAUUGGGACUGAGAUACGGCCCAG
rnacentral:rRNA from 1 species